UUAGAGAUGGUUUUGAUGGUUAUUAUAUUGAGUUGUUUAGAUUUUUUGGCUGUCUUUUUAUAACAUGUAGCUACUUGAAUUGGUUUACAGCCUUUUUUGGAUUGUCCUGUUACAGCCCAAAAGUUUUAAGGCUGUGAAUAGCCAAUACAUGUAUUUUUUUAAUAGUUGUGUUGAAAAAAGGACAAACCUAAGCUCUCACAAAACCACAGAAUGCAAGGGUGGAAAAUUGACCAGUAUGUAG
rnacentral:lncRNA from 1 species